UACGUAGGGAGCAAGCGUUAUUCGGAAUUACUGGGCGUAAAGAGUGCGUAGGCGGUCAGGUAAGUCAAAGGUGAAAUCUCUGCUCUCAAGGCAGAAACUGCCUUUGAUACUGCUUGACUCGAGGACAGGAGAGGAAAGUGGAACUCUGGAAGUAGCGGUGAAAUGCGUAGAUAUUCAGGGGAACGCCGGUGGCGAAAGCGGCUUUCUAGUCUGUCUCUGACGCUGAGGCACGAAAGCUAGGGUAGCGAUCGGGAUUAGAUACCCGGUA
rnacentral:rRNA from 1 species